GUAAGGAAUAUUGGGCAAUGGACGCAAGUCUGACCCAGCCAUGCCGCGUGAAGGAUGAAUGUCCUAUGGAUUGUAAACUUCUUUUAUGCAGGAAAAAUAUCCCGGUCGUGAACCGGGACUGAUGGUACUGUAUGAAUAAGCAUCGGCUAACUCCGUGCCAGCAGCCGCGGUAAUACGGAGGAUGCAAGCGUUAUCCGGAUUCAUUGGGUUUAAAGGGUGCGCAGGCGGAAUGAUAAGUCAGUGGUGAAAUCUCCCAGCUUAACUGGGAAACUGCCAUUGAUACUGUCGUUCUUGAGUACAGUUGAAGUGGGCGGAAUGUGUCAUGUAGCGGUGAAAUGCUUAGAUAUGACACAGAACACCGAUAGCGAAGGCAGCUCACUAAGCUGUAACUGACGCUCAUGCACGAAAGCGUGGGGAUCAAACAGGAUUAGAAACCCCUGUAGUCC
rnacentral:rRNA from 1 species